rnacentral:rRNA from 1 species
AUUGAACGCUGGCGGCAUGCUUUACACAUGCAAGUCGAACGGUAACAGGUUAAGCUGACGAGUGGCGAACGGGUGAGUAAUGCAUCGGAACGUGCCCGGUCGUGGGGGAUAACGCAGCGAAAGCUGCGCUAAUACCGCAUACGAUCUGAGGAUGAAAGCGGGGGACCGUAAGGCCUCGCGCGAUCGGAGCGGCCGAUGUCAGCUUAGGUAGUUGGUGGGGUAAAGGCUCACCAAGCCAACGAUCUGUAGCUGGUCUGAGAGGACGACCAGCCACACUGGGACUGAGACACGGCCCAGACUCCUACGGGAGGCAGCAGUGGGGAAUGUUGGACAAUGGGCGAAAGCCUGAUCCAGCAAUGCCGCGUGAAGGAAGAAGGCCUUCGGGUUGUAAACUGCUUUUGUACGGAGCGAAAAGGUCUCCUCUAAUACAGGGGGCUCAUGACGGUACUGUAAGAAUAAGCACCGGCUAACUACGUGCCAGCCGCCGCCGUAA